UUUGGUUUACGGUUUAGUUGUAGAGUGAGUCGCAAGGCAGCAGCACACGAUUGUCAUCACGUGAGAGGUCACAAUGGUGUCUGACGGUUUCGUCGGCGAGCAGCGUCCAGCUUACGAGAUCCUUUGAAUUCUCUGCGGCGUACAGCCCGUCGCACCUGCCACACUUGUCACACCGACUCGACGACGACGAGACUCUGCGAAUCCGGUAUAUUAGGAAUUUAGUUGCAAAACAUAUUACUCAAGAUGACAGAAUACUGGCUGAUAUCGGCACCGGGUGACAAAACCUGUCAGCAGACAUGGGAAACUAUGAACAAUCUGACAUCCAAGCAGCAUUCGUUGUCAGUGAAUUACAAAUUUCAUAUCCCAGACUUGAAGGUUGGAACACUGGAUCAACUGGUCGGCUUAUCAGAUGAUCUUGGCAAGCUAGAUGCAUUUGUGGAACAAGUAACGCGCAAGGUGGCAACGUAUUUGGGAGAGGUUCUGGAGGACCAAAGGGACAAGCUGCAUGAAAACCUGAUGGCUAACAACAGUGAUCUGCCAUCAUAUAUAACUCGAUUCCAGUGGGACAUGGCUAAAUACCCCAUCAAACAAUCUUUAAGAAAUAUCGCGGAUAUUAUCAGUAAGCAAGUGGGACAAAUCGAUGCCGAUUUGAAAACCAAGUCCACGAUAUAUAACAAUUUAAAAGGCAGCUUACAGAAUCUGGAGAAGAAACAGACGGGAAGUUUAUUAACGCGAAAUUUAGCGGACCUAGUGAAAAAGGAACAUUUUAUUUUGGACAGUGAAUAUUUAUCUACUUUGCUUGUGAUCGUACCGAAAUCUAACUUCCAGGAGUGGUAUAGUGGUUAUGAGAAAUUGACGGAUAUGAUUGUACCGCGCAGUACACAACUUAUCACUCAGGAUUCUGAAUAUGGAUUGUUUACAGUCACUUUGUUCAAGAAAGUCAUUGACGAGUUUAAAUUACACGCUCGUGAGAAGAAAUUUAUCGUACGAGACUUUACGUAUAAUGAGGAAGAAUUGGCAGCAGGAAAAAAUGAGAUUACGAAGUUAGUAACUGAUAAAAAGAAACAAUUUGGCCCUCUGGUGCGCUGGUUAAAAGUAAAUUUUAGUGAAUGCUUUUGCGCUUGGAUCCAUGUUAAAGCUCUGCGUGUAUUUGUUGAAUCUGUUCUUAGAUACGGCUUACCCGUUAAUUUCCAAGCAAUACUGUUGCAUCCGCAUAAGAGGUGCGCGAGGCGAUUACGUGAUGUUCUAAAUCAGCUUUACGCUCAUUUAGACUCAUCAGCUACUGCUUCGACAACUGCGCAACACAAUCAAGAUAGUGUAGAUAUACCAGGACUGGGUUUUGGUCAAAGUGAUUAUUUCCCAUAUGUUUAUUACAAGAUCAACGUGGAUAUGGUUGACCACAAGGUUUAAUCGCAAAGGUGCACUUCCUUUAAUUUGUGUCCAAAUGACAUAAUUCUUAUUACAUCAGGAAUCUGGUGGCAGACUCUGUAAUUGGGAAAACUGCGCAAUUUAUUUUAUAUAAAGUAACACGAUGUGUGGCAACACCGAAAUGCAAAUUGUUUUUAAGUAGAAUCGCUGCAACGCGUAACUCUACCUGUUGAUCGAUUGUACACAAAGUUAAAAUGCGGAACCUUUCAUUAAUAUGUAAGGCAUCUAGAUUUAUGCAAAAGAAAUAUAUACCUUGUUAUAUAUAUCUAUAAAAAAGAACGUACACACCUGAUGUGUCGUACAUUCAGUGAAAAACAAAUGUUAUUCAUAAUUUAGAAGAGAGCAAGUUGAGCGAUAAUGGUAGAGCCGUGACGUUAAGUAUAGAAAAAUGAUAAAUGAUGACAGGUCGAAUGUGAUUAUCAAUAAGACCAUCUCUUCGUGAUGAAAACGUCGUGACACUAUCAGUAGCUCAUCACCGCACAUUUACCGGCAAUUAUUGGUUUUUUGGUAUUUGUUGUAGUACAGGUACUUUUAUGAUAUGAUUAUACCUACCCAACGACAUACACUUGAACCGACAGUUGGCGGUAAGUGUGUAUGAAACAUAACCCCUGGAGUUUUGGAAACUUUCAAUUAGAAUCUUAUAUCUUGUUAAACAAAUUUAAUAAAUUAAGAUACAUUUUAUCAUGCAUUCUUACGAUAUCUCAUUGUAUUAAAUAUUUGAUAACUAUGAAAAAAAAGAUUUUUUCACACACUCAUGAUAUAUGCAGGUAGACCAAGCGAAUAAUUGUAAGACCUUUGGAUUAAAAAUAAGGACAACAAAAGCCAAUUAUGAAAAGAUGUAAUUUGCUCGUACUUACAAUAUAAUAAUUAGUAUACGCAGAUACAAAUCAAUAAAUCAUUCUAUAUAUAUAUAUAUAUAUAUAUAUAUAUAUAUA